AAUGAUAGUUUGUAGGAUGUAGUUUGUAGUAGUAGGAUGUUAUCUUUGUAAAGCUGGAGUGAUUUAGCUAUUACGUUUUGAAACCCACAACGUCGGACUCAUGCAGAACAAUGUUGAAACUUCUCCUUCUGCUGUGCCUUUUCAAUUAUAGUGAAACCCCCCCUGUAGGAACCGCCCCUAUACCUGUGACGGGAAAAAGGAGGCAAUGUCACCCUGUCAUGUGAUUUUAAGAACAUAGAGAUUUCUGAUAUCAAUUUAAUCAGAAAGGGAAACAAGAUCCCAGUUGAUCAGAAGAACUGUAGUCAACGAAUAUGUAAAAAAGGAAAAUGUAAUGUCAUCAUCAAGGAUCUGAGACUGAAUGACAGUGGGACAUACAUUUUGAGACUCUUUUUCCGUAAUGCCAAGGGAAUUCAUGAGCCACUAAAGAACAAGACGUACCAACUUCAUGUUAAUGAACCUAGCACAGAAUCACAGGAACUGAAGAACACAAAUGACACCCAAAAUAAUACAAAAUCAGGCUUCAUGGAAGUAUGCAAGUAUGACACUGAACAUGUUGCAAAGUUUUGGACUUUGUGUGUUGUACUGCCUGUGUUGGUGGUUCUGGUGGUUCUGGGGGGUAUUUAUUAUUUAUUUUUUUUCAUCAAGAAACCCCAGAAUCAGAAUGGAGGUUACUCACAGCCACCGAACCAGCAGGAAUCAAGCCUAUGAUAAUCUCUCCUGAGGGCCCCUGCGAAAUGUGAUUAAACUGUAAACAUGCCCAGAAUACCUUACAAUGACACAGGUUACUUGUAAUUCACCUUCAGUGCCAACACAUCUGCACAGGAUUCUGUCAACAUCCUGAAUGUCUUUAGCUAGAGGUGUGCAGUAUGUAUUGUCUGUAAUAAUAAAGUAAUUGUUGUUUUAAUGAUGUGGAAUGACAUUAUCAAGUCACUCCUUUUGCAAAAACAGGCCUUGAUAGUGCACACUUUCACUGUGUGAUGUAGACUAUAUAAUCCCAGCCAGCAGAGCCAUGUGGGACCCAAAUGGGUUUGACCUGGGCUAUCUAACUGGGACCCAGCCAGUUUUGCACCCAGUUUCCAUGUAGGCCCCACAUGGG